GCUGGGCGUGGUGGCACAUGCCUGUAAUCCCAGCUACUCAGGAGGCUGAGGCAGAAGAAUUGCUUGAACCUGGGAGGUGGAGGUUGCAGUGAGCCAAGAUCGUGCCACUGUACUCCAGCCUGGGUAACAGAGCGAGACUCUGUCUCAA
rnacentral:sRNA from 1 species